CCCCGUAAAUUUAAGCAUAUUAAUAAGGGGAGGAAAAGAAACUAACAAGGAUUCCGUGAGUAGCUGCGAGCGAAACGGGAAGAGCUCAGCACGUAGGGGCGAUGCACUGCCUGUAUCUGCCCGGUUCCGUGUACUGGAAAGUUCGUUAUCUGCCGUAACCGGUCGCUGGUUCAAGUUCAACUAGAAUGUGGCUUUUACUCCCAGAGAGGGUGAUAGGCCCGUAGAGCGGCGCACCGACGGUAGAAGUGCUUUCCAUGGAGUCGUGUUGCUUGAUAGUGCAGCACAAAGUGGGAGGUAAACUCCUUCUAAAGCUAAAUAUCACCACGAGACCGAUAGCGAACAAGUACCGUGAGGGAAAGUUGAAAAGCACUCUGAAUAGAGAGUCAAAAAGUACGUGAAACUGCCUAGGGCUCAAGCCCGUUGAACUCGAUUAUCCGAUGCGGAGACAUUCACCUGCGGUGUGCUGCGAACCAGUGCGCCGCAGGGCACUUGUCUACUCGCGCUAGCCAAGAGGACACUGCGAUCCAUUACGAAACAG
rnacentral:ncRNA from 1 species